rnacentral:rRNA from 1 species
GCUGCGACUGUUUAUUAAAAACAUAGCACUCUGCAAACUCGUAAGAGGACGUAUAGGGUGUGACGCCUGCCCGGUGCCGGAAGGUUAAUUGAUGGGGUUAGUCUUCGGACGAAGCUCUUGAUCGAAGCCCCGGUGAACGGCGGCCGUAACUAUAACGGUCCUAAGGUAGCGAAAUUCCUUGUCGGGUAAGUUCCGACCUGCACGAAUGGCGUAACGAUGGCCACACUGUCUCCACCCGGGACUCAGUGAAAUCGAAAUUGCUGUGAAGAUGCAGUGUACCCACACCAAGACGGAAAGACCCCGUGCACCUUUACUACAACUUCACACUGGACUUUGAAUAUGGCUGUGUAGGAUAGGUGGGAGGCUUUGAAGCUGGGACGCUAGUUCUGGUGGAGCCAACCUUGAAAUACCACCCUG